rnacentral:rRNA from 1 species
AGGACGAACGCUGGCGGCGUGCCUAACACAUGCAAGUCGAACGGGGUACCUUCGGGUGCUUAGUGGCGAACGGGUGAGUAACGCGUGAGGAACCUGCCUUUCAGUGGGGGACAACAGUUGGAAACGACUGCUAAUACCGCAUAACAUCUUCGGGGGGCAUCCCCUGAAGAUCAAAGCUUUAUGUGCUGAAAGAUGGCCUCGCGUCUGAUUAGCUAGUUGGUGAGGUAACGGCCCACCAAGGCGACGAUCAGUAGCCGGUCUGAGAGGAUGAACGGCCACAUUGGGACUGAGAUACGGCCCAGACUCCUACGGGAGGCAGCAGUGGGGAAUAUUGGGCAAUGGGGGAAACCCUGACCCAGCAACGCCGCGUGAAGGAAGAAGGCCUUCGGGUUGUAAACUUCUUUUACCAGGGACGAAGAACGUGACGGUACCUGGAGAAAAAGCAACGGCUAACUACGUG